rnacentral:lncRNA from 1 species
UUUUCCUCUGUGUUAGUACUGGUAGCUCUGUGCAUAAUAAAUUACGGUAUACAACAUAUUCCUUAUUUAAAUGAAUUUUGUUGAGUACCAAACCUAUUUCUGGUCAUAUUAUUUAAUGAUCCCUCUAACUCAGGAAGGAUAAUUCUAAGAAAACUGUUUCACAGGUAUAGCUCCUAGAACAUAAAAAAUCUGUAGAAGCUAGCUGAGAAUUCUGCAAGCAUGUCUGAAUGCCAAAUCAACUGAGCAGCUCCCUGGCUCAUGCACAUGCAAAACAUUUGAAUUUCCUGUUGGCUCAGAGUGUUUGCAUUGCAAGUGACAUCUGGCUGACAGGAACUUGGAGAAAUGGGAUACAAAGUGAAUGCUGCAGUUACCACGGUAUCAUAUUUAUCAAAAGGCUUAAGUUCUUACAUCUGGAAGAAUCUUUGGAUAAACAGCAGUCCUGAGGUAAUAUACCAUAAUAGCAAAAGCAUACUGAAGAGGGUGGAGUGGAAAAGAAAGAGGAGAUUCUGCGUUGAUAAAUAAAGUAAUUUUCCUUCAGCUUACCUUCA